rnacentral:rRNA from 1 species
GCGAACGGGUGAGUAACACGUGGGCGAUCUGCCCUUCGCUCUGGGACAAGCCCUGGAAACGGGGUCUAAUACCGGAUACCACUCCUUCUCGCAUGGGAAGGGGUUGAAAGCUCCGGCGGUGAAGGAUGAGCCCGCGGCCUAUCAGCUUGUUGGUGAGGUAGUGGCUCACCAAGGCGACGACGGGUAGCCGGCCUGAGAGGGCGACCGGCCACACUGGGACUGAAACACGGCCCAGACUCCUACUGGAGGCAGCAGUGGGGAAUAUUGCACAAUGGGCGAAAGCCUGAUGCAGCGACGCCGCGUGAGGGAUGACGGCCUUCGGGUUGUAAACCUCUUUCACCAUGGAAGAAGCGAAAGUGACGGUACCUGCAAAAGAAGCGCCGGCUAACUACCUGCCAACAACCGCGGUAAUACGUACGGCGCAAGCGUUGUCCGGAAUUAUUGGGCGUAAAGAGCUCGUAGGCGGCUUGUCGCGUCGGUUGUGAAAGCCCGGGGCUUAACCCCGGGUCUGCAUUCCAUACGGGCAGGCUAGAGUGUGGUAGGGGAGAUCGGAAUUCCUGGUGUGGCGGUGAAGUGCGAAUAUAUCGUGAGGAACACCGGUGGCGAAAGCGGAUCUCUGGUACAUUACUGACGCUGAGGAGCGAAAGCGUGGGGAGCGAACAGGAUUAGAUACCCUGGUAAUCCA